rnacentral:rRNA from 2 species
AAAUUGAAGAGUUUGAUCAUGGCUCAGAUUGAACGCUGGCGGCAGGCCUAACACAUGCAAGUCGAACGGUAACAGGAAGCAGCUUGCUGUUUCGCUGACGAGUGGCGGACGGGUGAGUAAUGUCUGGGAAACUGCCUGAUGGAGGGGGAUAACUACUGGAAACGGUAGCUAAUACCGCAUAA